ACGAAACUGUCAACUGCUGGUUGUGUUCAGUAUAUAUUUUUAAUUUUUGGUGGUAAAAAUUACUUGUUUCCGCUUGUUGUUUGAUAUAUUUUGUUACAUUAUCUUCUCUCAUGUGCAACAAUCAUGUGUAAAGUAACGGUCAAGUGAAGAAUGUCCAUAAACAUAACGGUGCACGCGAAAGGACAACCGACGCCGUUGUCUUUUGAGGAGGCCAGCAUUAAUAAUCCUUUUGCGAGCUUGGAAACUGUUCGGAAGGCUGAGAAUGAAAGACGACGGAAGGCUCGUUUGGAACAGGUUCGCCAACAAUCUAGGGAACUCGCCGCCAAGGUGCGAAAAAACUACCAAAUCGCUAAACAAAAGCAAUUAGCAUGCGUGCAGAAGGUCAAACAGGACGAGUUAAAGCGCUGGAAGCAACAGAAUAUUGCAAAAUUACAAGCUGAGUACAAGCAAUGCCUUGAGAAAGUAGGUGAAGCUCAUAAGGCAGCGGAUGAUGCCGAACAAUGUGAAGUUUGGUUCCAGGAGCGAAAGGCCGCUCAACAGGCGGCUGCACUCUCAAGAGGCAAGCAAGCGGAAUCAAAAUAUGCCGAAGAAAAACGAGAAAAGGAAAACAAAAAAUUAAAAACCAAGAAAGAUUACAAACCAUCGAAAUCCGUUGGAAUUCAGGUUUCUGUACCGACUGAAAAAGUGAGGGAAAAUCAACCUGAAGAAGGCGUUUCCUCUGCCAACACUCUUAGCGCUUUUGAGCAGUUUAAGAAAAGUUCUAGGGGGAAACAACAACUAUUGUCACCAGCUUUCGAUUCUUCGGAUGAAGAUGAACUCUUACCAGCUACAGGUAAAAACAAAGAAAACGUUCCAUCUCAGAACACAAGUUCCAAGCGGAUAGACACACUUUACUACAACGCCGCCUCGUUCACUUCACCCGAAACACUACACAAUUCACCGACCGGCUCUCAAACAGCGCAGCUCGGAAAAUCGACCACUCUAAAACCCUUCACUCAAGUGUCCGAUUUAGUCAGACGACGAAGAGAUAACACAUCGCAAAAAUACUCAGCACCACAGCUUCAACACACCGGCAAAGACAUUGGAAGUUAUUCCUCUCAAAAAUAUGUCCAAUUUGACGAUUUCAGUGAAAAUACCCUUUCAUUCCCAACGAGUACAGCACUGGACCGAUCGAUACUGGAAUCCCCCCGGAAGCCAGUUCGUAAGCUGGUUGAACACCCGAAAGCCCCACCCGGUGUUGCUUCGAAGGUAAAAAGUCUAGCAAGCAGUCCGUCUAAACUGUCCACUGCGGCCAGUACCGGUUCCAAGGUGCAGUACUACGACUACAAUACCAAGUUUCGUAAGGAAUAUGAUCAACCGAGUUCGCUUGUGCAGCGGAACGAAAAAGUCGACGGGGAGUUGAAUGCAAUGCAGGAAGCCAGCCGACUAGAGCGAUUGCAAAAAGAUAUGCUGAACGCAAGGAGACAAACUUCCUCAACGGCAACGGAUCGCUCGAAAGUAGCACUUGAAAAGCUUCAAUCCCGAAAAGACUAUGAAAACCUGAAGGCAGAAUUAGAUAAACUGGUUAGGGUAGAGAACCAAGCAAAAGCACUGGAUGUGUCUAAAAACCCUCCUCCGACGCUAGCGCAGCAACGAAAGCAGAAAGAGUCUCAACUAAAACGAGCCAACGAAGCAGUGGAAGAUCUGAUCAAGCAGCGAGUGCUCAUCACCUGUCCGCAGGUGCGAGAGCCUCCAAGAAGCGCCCCCGCAGCUAAAACCGGUAAACCAACGCAAAUCAAUGUGGCUGCUCCAGUUUCUGGAAACGACUCUGUCGCUGCACCCGACGCUAGUAAUUCUGACAGUUGCAGCACGAUUCUGCUUGGUUAUGAUCCAAACAGAAGCACAAGAGCGGGCAUUCCACUGCCAACGGGAGCUAGCAGCGAAUCGGAUAGGGUCGCAAAGCUGAAAGAUUUAUUAGAACAAUUGAAUGAGCAGAAAAAACUACUGUGUCAUGAGCUGAAGCGGGAGCAGGAGGCCGAGCGAGAAAGUGCGGUUCCCACGCAUGAAACAGUCCGCAAAUCGACACAUAGUCAAACUGAUAAUGGGAUUCAUAAGUUGCAACAACGACAGGAACGACUAGAACAGCAGCAAGAGGAGCUACGCGAAAGGGAGCAAGAAAUUCGCGAGCUUGAAAAGCAACUUAAGGAUAAACUGAAUCAGUUGGCGAAAGAGCAGUCCAAACCGAGGAUUCCCGUUGUAGUUGAAACCCGAGGGUCUGGUAAAGCCGAAGUGCAUGCAGGCGCUGAAAGUUCAUCUAAUGAUUCUAAUGCGAGCAUUCAAUCUGGGUCGGAAAUUCCAGUUAAAAUAGUUAUUACGGUGAACGAUAAAUCCCAGAAAAAGAUCACGAAAACUCCCAAAAAAUCUAAAAGCGAAGUUAGGAAAAGAAAAAAAGUCAAAGAUGUAGUGGAAGUUGAACAGACUGAAAACGCUUCGCCACAGGUUCCGUUAAAAUCAAAGCAGACUAGUGUUCCUCCGGUUACGAUGGUGAAUCCUCCCAAAGAACCGGAACAAUCUCCUAUCAGUUCCACUACGUCAACAAUUUAUAGACAACCACCGGAGAAAAUUGGGAAUCGCAUGAGUCAGCUUUUAAAACAAAUCGGUCAAGAAGAAAGAUCUGUUCCGAAGCACCAGCUGCGAAAGGAGCCGGAGCCCUCAGUCCCACCUCCAAUCGCUGGAAGCAAGAAAAACCUCAAUCCUUCUCUGAUGCAGUAUAUCAUUCGUCUACUGGGAAUGUCUAGAUACUCGAUUGAGCAGUUGGGCGUCAGCUCUUCCACAACUGUUUCUACUCCACACGAUUCGGUUGUGGAUGUUAGUGCAAAUCGAUCAUCCAGUAGCAGCGUCGAGGAAGUGAACCAGUCGCGUCUGGACAAGUUACGCCGAUUCAUCGAUGAAAAUUAUAACUUUCUGCAUGAGAUCGACGAAACGCUGAAAGAACAAGCCCUCGACGGCACCCUGGACGAGAAUAUCAAUCGAGUCGGUGACAUCUGGAUGCGUACGUUAACUAGAAAAGAAGACGAGUCUCGACAGCAGAAGACGAAAUCCGAACGUGGAAAAGCGAUUGAACCGCCGAAACAACAGUCUCCCCCAGUCAAAGAAAGCUCUCUCAAGUCGAUACUGAAGUCACCCAAAAAGACCCCCCAAAAGGUAGCAAAAAUAAUCACUCCUCAGGGUCAUGUCGAAAUUAUCAACCUGAGUGACCGUGACGAGCAGGAAGUAUUGGAGAAAUAUUCCCAGCUAACGGCAAACUGCAGCAAACGUAUCAACGAGCUCUCGGAAAUGAUUCAAAAAGUGCGAGAAGAGAAAAGAAAGUUGAUUGAAAACAGCCUCACCUCCAACAGUGAACAGCAGGAAUCAACCAAAUACAUGGAUUUGCCCCAAUCUUUAACCCAACGGCAGCAGGUGCUGUCACCAGCGAGGGCCGAUGGCCCACCACCAGCGCAAACCAGCCCACAAUCGACGAGGGAUGAUCCGGUUAGCGAGGAAAUCAAUCAUAUUUUCACCGCUUCGCGGCACAUCGGAGUCAGCAAGGACAGUGGUAUCGCCAUGUCGCGACCGGUUACAUCAUCCGAUAUCCGCGACAGUCCGGAUGCGAGACCCGCGAACGCUGGAGCGGCUCAAUUUGAAUCGUCUGAAGAAGUGAGCUCUAGAGAUGUUGUACGACUACCAACGCAACCUGCGGUUGCAACUUUUGAACCACUUCUGAAAGAUAUCCCUAAGGUGACUGCCCGUGUCCUAUCAAUCGCUAAUGGCAAUCAACAAUUUCCCUCUAAGGGGGAAGAACUGAAAGAGAUAGCAGGUGGUAAGCGCACCAAACCCCCGGUAGCCAUCACCCGCUACAGUCCACAGCUGGAUGAAGCAACGAAUGCUCACGAACUGUCAACAAUCCUCGAGGUGGAAACGCCGAUGGCUUCAAAAAUCAACAUUUCUAUUCCCUCCAGUGAUAAGAUGUUGAAACCAACGGAGCAAUUGCUCUCGGAGGAUCGAAACAAACUGCUGGAAUUUGCACGUGCUUUGGGCUACGAGGGCUUUCCGAACUAUGAGGAAUAUCUGCGACAGAAAAAUUUAGACACUACGAGGUACGAUCCGGAGAAAACCAAUGGAGCCUACUCGGGUAAUCUUUUGCUGGAAGUAACCGACAAGAGUGAGCUCCUGCGAUACCAGCAGUAUCCGGAUCCAGCUCCUGACAUAGACGUGACUGAAGAAACACUUAAGGACACUGGUGUGAAGCAUCCCGAACUGGAGAGUAACUCCAGCUCUAGUGCUUCUUUACCGGAUGUAGUAGCCGAGUUGAAACUUCGAAACAUCAUUGAUAAAUCGUUCAAUAAUUCUCUGGAUGAUUCCAACCGUUCCUCACCAGAUUCAGGAUCCAUCGAAAUGAAACAACUUGUUCCGAAGGCGACGAAAAAACCCCUCGACGUUCCCCAAGGUCAACCCGCGUCGGAAACAACAGGAUCGUUAGAGCGUGAUUUGAAUCAACUCGGAUUACGUUGGGCAGCCACAAUGUUAAAAAAGAACCAAGAGUUAGCGCAGCAGGAUCACUCCAGUAGCUCGUCAUUGUCCGUGAUUGAAGAAAUGCGCCGUGUCUCCGGUAAAACGCUACCAAAGCUAACCGAUUCGCAGCAAGAUCCAAACGAAUCCGGUCCGGUAUCUGGUAGACCGUUAAACUUGAAGGAAUUCAUCGCUCGCGAGCUAAUGAUACGGACCCAUUCGGACCUGAACUCACUUUCCAGCUCAUCAAGUCCUUGCAGUUUGUUGUUGAAAUCUUUGCUGGACAUUAGUAACAUCAACUGCUCAACACCGGAACUGUUAACCCAAACGACAACGGACAAAAACGUCCAGCGCACCUCUACACCGGUAGCGUCUAAAUCAACCUCUAGCUCGGGACGUCGCACCGAAGCCGACCGGACUAGGGAAGCAAGCCUAAAUGUUGGUGUAGGCUUAUUCUCCGGUGAAUCUCGAAUUUCCUCAGUCCACAUGAGUUCGUCAUCUGGAGGAGAACUAGCGGUUCCUAGCGUUCGACUGAUAGAGGAUAACAGUAAAACUAGAGAUGACGACAGACUGCCCACUUAACGUAGUGAGAAAAAAAAACUAUAGUGCCUUCGUGAACAGUGCUUAAAUUUAUAGACAAUGAUGGAAUGCGAUGAACGGCGUGUAAUAAAUUACAGGUAACUUUAGCAAUAAUCAUUUGAUUGUAGACUUAGUAAACGUAAAGAUUUUUAAUCUAUACGAUCUUCUGAAGUGAUGACAGUUGUCAUUUAAACUCAAAUAUAAUUCAAGAUUUAAGACGAUUCGUCGAAUGAAAAAAUGUUUCGGGAUAAAGAUGGAAGAAUCUUGACGGAUAAACGUGAGAUGAUUGACAGGUGGCAGCAACACUAUCAAGUAGCCCGAGACCAAAAAAUCAGCUGGAAAAGAUGACAUCGCAGCAGAGCUGGGCCAAGGAUAGAUUGGUUUUCUG